rnacentral:rRNA from 1 species
GAUAGCCAUGCAUGUCUCAGUACAUGCCGAAUUAAGGUGAAACCGCGAAUGGCUCAUUAAAUCAGUUAUGGUUCCUUAGAUCGUACCCACAUUUACUUGGAUAACUGUGGUAAUUCUAGAGCUAAUACAUGCAAACUGGAGUUCGUCCCAGAGAUGGGAGGAACGCAUUUAUUAGAUCAAAACCAAUCGGUGGCGGACGGUUUUCCGUUCGUCCAUCGUUGAUUUUGGUGACUCUGAAUAACUUUCUGCUGAUCGCACGGUCUCUAAGCACCGGCGACGUAUCUUUCAAAUGUCUGCCUUAUCAACUGUCGAUGGUAGGUUCCGCGCCUACCAUGGUUGUAACGGGUAACGGGGAAUCAGGGUUCGAUUCCGGAGAGGGAGCCUGAGAAACGGCUACCACAUCCAAGGAAGGCAGCAGGCGCGCAAAUUACCCACUCCCGGCACGGGGAGGUAGUGACGAAAAAUAACGAUACGGGACUCAUCCGAGGCCCCGUAAUCGGAAUGAGUACACUUUAAAUCCUUUAACGAGGAACAAUUGGAGGGCAAGUCUGGUGCCAGCAGCCGCGGUAAUUCCAGCUCCAAUAGCGUAUAUUAAAGUUGUUGCGGUUAAAAAGCUCGUAGUUGAAUCUGUGUAGCACAGUGCCGGUUCACCGCUCGCGGUGUUCAACUGGCAUUACGUGUUGCGUCCUACCGGUGGACUUAGCCUUGUCCCCUUCGGGGUGUCAGGGCGGUCCAAUCAGUCUCCUAGCCCGGUGCUCUUUACUGAGUGUCGAGUUGGGCCGGUACGUUUACUUUGAACAAAUUAGAGUGCUCAAAGCAGGCUACUUUCGCCUGAAUACUGGUGCAUGGAAUAAUGGAAUAGGACCUCGGUUCUAUUUUGUUGGUUUUCGGAACCCCGAGGUAAUGAUUAAUAGGGACAGAUGGGGGCAUUCGUAUUGCGACGUUAGAGGUGAAAUUCUUGGAUCGUCGCAAGACGGACGGAAGCGAAAGCAUUUGCCAAAAUGUUUUCAUUAAUCAAGACGAAAGUUAGAGGUU